rnacentral:rRNA from 1 species
UACGAAGGGGGCUAGCGUUGUUCGGAAUCACUGGGCGUAAAGCGCACGUAGGCGGAUUGUUAAGUCAGGGGUGAAAUGCCAAGGCUCAACCUUGGAACUGCCUUUGAUACUGGCAAUCUCGAGUCCGGGAGAGGAUAGUGGAAUUCCCAGUGUAGAGGUGAAAUUCGUAGAUAUUGGGAAGAACACCGGUGGCGAAGGCGGCUAUCUGGACCGUAACUGACGCUGAGGCGCGAAAGCGUGGGGAGCAAACAGG